ensembl:lncRNA
UAUUGUAAAAAAUAUUGCCAUUUUAUUACAAAAAGUGUCUGUGGGCUUUCAACCAGUAAGUCUAACAUACACAACACAGAUCAUAACCCCAUUGUCUUGUUAGUCUCUGAACUAUGAGAAAACAUAGAAAACACAUCAACAGAGACAACGUACACAUUUAACCCCUUUUUCAAUGGGUCGAGGACAUUUGGUUCAUCAAAACAUGUGGAUGAAUACAGUCGACUCCUGAUAUAUACAAAGGCUUGGGAUCGUCAUGGUUGCUUGGGAUCGUCAUGGAUACGUGGACUAACCCAAAGCAGCAGAUGUCAGAUUUGAGAAAUGAGAACUCAGAGAAACAUGUUUUCAUGGGCUAUUGGCUAUGGCCAAAAGGGGUUACUAACAAUCACAAUUCCAGUAUAUCAAUCUAUAUUCAUUCCAACAGUUAAAUACACAAUGAAUGUAUGUCUACACAAUUGAUUAUCUACAACUUUUUGCCAAAAUCAUGUUCAAGUAAGUACAGCAACCAGGAUAUUUGAUCAUUUCAGUGGAAGCUAUAUAGCGUUAGCCUGUGCCAUCCAGUCAGUACCCACUGGGCACAGAUGUCAGUUCUACAUAUAGUUUUGAUUUGGUUGAGUUGUCAACUAACUUUAAUUCAAUGUGAAAUCAACAAAAAAUGUCACCAAGUCAUUGGAUUUAUGUUAAAAGUUAGGUGAACAAAAUCUGAAAUUCUCUUACGUUGAUAUCUCUUUUCUACUCCAAACAGUUCAACUUCAUCACAUUGAAUUUGAGGGUUGAAAUUAUGUGGAAACAAAAUUGAUUAAACCAGUAGUUAGUUUCCAUGCAGGACAGUAGCCUUCCAGUGACAUCCAGUGAACUUCAAGGGUCCUGCCAGCAGCCGCUUUACAUUUCAGGACACAACACCCCACAAUGCUAACUGAAACCAAGUGAAGGCACUGAAGAAGACCAUGAUUAGGGAGAACAGAGCAGGAAGGGACCCACACAUCCAAACUAACUAAGGACACAACAAUUGAAGUGUUUGUUGUUUGUUCACAGAUUUGUGCAAGUAAGAGGUGCAAUGCAGCAAACCCUUUUGACAGUAACUGUAUCUAGAUGUUUGAUGGCUAGCUGAGCAGGAGGCUAGCUCAUAGGAUAAGGUGAUGGCUGUGAUAACCGAAGAAAAAAAAUGAAACAACAAAAAUCAAAGUAUUUACAGUGUAUUCCACCUUUAGAAAAAGAUCAGGUCAUAGAAACAGAGUCAGUGACACGUUGCAACAGCACAACACAUCACGCCUCAUAGAGAAGAUGUUCUUUAAAUAUACAUCCUCUUCAUCUGGUCAUCCUGCAGAGUCCAUCAGAAGCACCAUGGCAACAGAAGACACUUUCCUCUUUCUCAAGUCAAAGACAAAGGCAUGUUUCUGAAAGGAAAGAGAGAAGUGAGGUUUACAGUUUAAAUGUAGAUAGUUUGUAGCUAUUAAACCCAGCUACGACAGCACACUGUGGCUUACUACCAUCUACAGACAAUAUCGCAACAACUACACAUUGCCUAUCGGAAUCAAUGACAAUAUAGUACAAAGUAUAUUUAAGACAAGCUAAGGUUAGGCCUAUUCUAUGACCAUUCUAGACAUGUCAGGAAUCAAAAAUAAAGUACCUUGAGGUUCACAGUGAUCAGCUGGCUCUCCAGCAUUCCUAUGUUUCAGAGCUCGCUCUUCUGUCCAGCGCUCUGUUAGCACACACACAACAGGAGUAGAUUAGAUUGAGGCUUUUGACAGUGACCGAAGUGGCUCAAAAUUGCACACAAACCACACUACCGUACACAACACUUAAACCCUGGGGAUGCCUGUCAACUUUAUAAUGUUAUUUUUCUGCCUCGAAGAGGGAUGCUUGAUGCAGCCUAUGAACCGUCUCCAACCCUCUCCCUUCUCUUGGUCUGUUUGCCUCCUCUGACUGGCUCUACACAGGCCCAAAGACUAUUAUCCUUACUGGGUUUCCUUCCAUCUGCCUUUCACAAAGACUCUGUCUAUUCUCUUUGUACAGCAGACUGGCCGUAGUAUCUCUAGAUCAGAAGUGUACCUGAACUGACCGUCCUAGCUAUCCCGGUUCUGACUGGCCCAACUCUUCUCCUUUUCCACUGUUUACAGCUGGGAAGGAACUUAACCAGUAUCAAAGCUGGGACCGAGAGACUGAAAAACAUUUUCUAUCUCAAGCCCAUCAGACUGUUAAAUAGCCAUCACUAGGCGGCUUCCACCUGGUUACGUAACCCCGCACCUUAGAGGCUGCUGCCCCAUAUACAUAGACUUGAAAUUACUGGCCACUUUAAUAAUGGAACAUUAGUCACUUAAUAAUGUUUACAUAUUUUUACUUUACUAAUUUCAUAUGCUGUAUUCUAUUCUACUGUAUUUUAGUCUAUGUCACUCUGACAUUGCUCAUCCUAAUAUUUAUAUAUUCCUUAAUUCCAUUCUUUUACUUUUAGAUUUGUGUGUAUUGUUGUUAAUUGUUAGAUACAACUGCACUGUUGGAAGCUAGAAACACAAGCAUUUCGCUACACCCGCAAUAACAUCUGCUCAACAUGUGUAUGUGACAAAUAAAAUGUGAUUUGACUUGAGUAUUUGGCCAUCCUGCAGUGGUGUUUUUGUCUGGAACUUAAUACCUGGAACAGGUGAAUGACUGACGCCCCCACGGCCCCAGCUGCUUGUGUCUCUGUCUGACUUACUGAGCACUCUAGACCCGUCCAUACUCUAGAACUUCCAUACUCUAGAACCUUCCAUACUCUAGAACAUUCCAUAGAAAGAGACAGACUAUGGUCUGCAUCUCAAAUUGCACCCUAUUCCUUAUAAAGUGCACCACUAUAGACCGGGGUCCAUAGGGCGCUGGUCAAAAAUAGUGCACUUUGUAGGGAUAGUGUGCCAUAUGGGAUGCAGACCAUAAGUGAGCUGACACAAGGCCAGUGAAACAGAAACUCUACAACUGAAUGUCUAAAUAGCUCCACUAAUGGUUUUGGAACAGGUAGUCUGGACUGGAGACGUUUCCUGUAUAGAGGUUCUCAUACUGUGUGAAGUGUGUAUCCGGCUCCCGUCACACCACUGGCAAACAGACAGGCCAGGCCAGACAGAAAGGCCUCCUGUAGUCUGCUGCGUUCUAGUCUGCUCUGUUCCCUUUCCAAGGUCUGGGGUGACCAUGACCAUACAGAGGACGUGUGUCCUGUCUUGUCCUCCCAGCCCCAAGGUAAGGAGAGAUUUGACAGUCUGAACCCUGGCUCACCGCUCAGCACUACGCUGAAAGUACAUAAUCUCCAGCUAGCAGGAGGUUUAGUGUAUCAGGUGGGCCAGCCUACUGUAGUCUGUCUAUACACACUUCAAUUGACAGACAGACAGACAGACAGACAGACAGACAGACAGACAGACAGACAGACAGACAGACAGA